ACGUCCUUGGUGAAGUGGUUAUCAUGCUUGCCUUCCAAGCAAGCGGGCCGGGUUCGAUUCCCGGAGGGCGUA
rnacentral:tRNA from 1 species